CGGAGGGUGCAAGCGUUAUCCGGAUUUACUGGGUUUAAAGGGUGCGCAGGCGGAUAUGUAAGUCAGUGGUGAAAUCUCCGGGCUUAACCCGGAAACUGCCGUUGAUACUAUAUAUCUUGAAUGCUGUGGAGGUAAGCAGAAUAUGUCAUGUAGCGGUGAAAUGCUUAGAGAUGACAUAGAAUACCUAUUGCGAAGGCAGCUUACUACGCAGAUAUUGACGCUCAUGCACGAAAGCGUGGGGAUCAAACAGGAUUAGAUACCCUGGUAGUCCACGCCCUAAACGAUGAUUACUCGACAUACGCGAUAUACAGUGUGUGUCUGAGCGAAAGCAUUAAGUAAUCCACCUGGGAAGUACGAUCGCAAGAUUG
rnacentral:rRNA from 1 species